rnacentral:lncRNA from 1 species
GUGGCCAUAGGAGCACGAGAAGAAGGUGUCCCUCAGGAGGAAAAUAUGUGGGCCGUUCCUGUCAGGAGGCAGCAGGAUGUUGCUGAGGUGAGCUUGCCUGUCUUUCCCUGAGGAACACAAGUCAUUUCUUAGCGUCUUUCCAAUCAACGUCUGUUGUAAAUCAGACAAUGUACUUUUUAGAUGAUAUUGUUACUUUCCGGGGUGGGGAGUGUGGAGUAUGGGUGCCUCUUGUCAAAUGUAACCUUGGCAGGGGGACAUUCCCCACUGGCAGUGCUAAACCUGGUCAUACACAGUGUCAAAGGAUCUUUUUCGUCAGCAGCAAUUUUUCCUGCUUGGGUGAGGAAAUGUGUAGUCGGCACCCUAAAUGGACUUGAGAGACACAUCCCCAGGAAAAACAACUUCAGACAGGCAUCCUAUUCAUUUGUUUUUGGGGACCUUUGACUCAAGCACUGUGUGCAUCUGGUUUCCUAAAGUCCAGAAGAGAACCAAAGACCAGUGCAACGCGUGUUCAUCAUGGUCUGACCCUGAUGGUGUUUCUUUUCUCUACAUUCAGGUUGCCGCGGGAGAAACAGAAUAUGGUGUCCCUGAGGAGGAAAAGAUGUGGGCCGUUCCUGUCAGGAGGCAGCAGGAUGUUGCUGAGGUGAGCUUGCCUGUCUUUCCCUGAGGAACACAAGUCAUUUCUUAGCGUCUUUCCAAUCAACGUCUGUUGUAAAUCAGACAAUGUACUUUUUAGAUGAUAUUGUUACUUUCCGGGGUGGGGAGUGUGGAGUAUGGGUGCCUCUUGCCAAAUGUAACCUUGGCAGGGGGACAUUCCCCACUGGCAGUGCUAAACCUGGUCAUACACAGUGUCAAAGGAUCUUUUUCGUCAGCAGCAAUUUUUCCUGCUUGGGUGAGGAAUUUUGUAGUCAGCAUCCUCAGUGGUCUUCAGAGACACAUCCCCAGGAAAAACAACUUCAGACAGGCAUCCUAUUCAUUUGUUUUUGGGGACCUUUGACUCAAGCACUGUGUGCAUCUGGUUUCCUAAAGUCCAGAAGAGAACCAAAGACCAGUGCAACGCGUGUUCAUCAUGGUCUGACCCUGAUGGUGUUUCUUUUCUCUACAUUCAGGUUGCCGCGGGAGAAACAGAAUAUGGUGUCCCUGAGGAGGAAAAGAUGUGGGCCGUUCCUGUCAGGAGGCAGCAGGAUGUUGCUGAGGUGGCCGCGGGAGCAACGAAAUACGGUGUCCCUGUGGAGGAAAAGAUGUGGGCUUUUCCUGUAAGGACACACCAGGCUGUUGGUGAGUUUCCUGUGGUCUCUGGAACCAUGGAGAAUGAUUGGGUGUUGGAGAGCCUGUCUGACUCUGGAACCGAUGAUGAAUAGUCAUCAGAUAGGGAACUGCACUCAGGUAGGAAUCAAUGGGAGAGGGUUUCUGGGAACAGCUGGCUUAUACCUGCUGCUUUGUAGACUUAGAGUGGGAGGUAUGAAAUCAGAAAGACAAAGCAAGGAUGUGCGAAGCCUUGUGUUGUUCUUUUAAUAUAAUAGCAGCGUCUUUUAAUAGAAUAGAUGUGUUCUCCCUCUGGGCUUUGAAUGUACUCUGUCUGUAACCAGCUUUUUAAAGUUUGUUUUUUUUUUAACCAAGUUGGUUAACAUAUAGUGUAAUAAUGGUUUCAGUAAUAGAAUUUAGUGAUUUAUCACUUCCAUAGACCAAACCAUGUGGUCAUCCGCACCAAGUGCCCUCCCUAAUGCUCAUCACCUAUUUAGUACAUCCCUCUACCCAACACCCUUCCAACAACUCUCAGUGUGUGAAGAGUUAAUCAGUCACUUAUGGACUGUCUCCAUCUCUGUUUUUACCUUAUUUUUCCUUCCAUUCUCCUAUGUUCAUCUGUUUUGUUAGAUUCCACACAUGAGUGAAAUCAUAUGAUAUUUGUCUUUCUCUGACUGACUUAAUUUGCUUACCAUAACACAUUCUAGUUGCAUCCACGUUGUUGCAAAAGGCAAGAUUUCAUUCUUUUGGAUCAUGGAAUGAUAUUCUAUUCUAUGUAGAUAGAUAGAUAGAUAGAUAGAUAGAUAGAUAUAGAUAGAUAGAGAUAUAAAAAUAGGUAUCUAUAUACAGACAGAUAUAUGUAUCUAUAUAUUCCUUAUCCAUUCAUCAGUCACUGGACACCUUGGCUCCUUCCAUAAUUUGGCUAUUAUUGACAGUGCCAUUAUAAACACUGGGGUGCAUGUGCCCCUUUGAGUCAGCACUCCUGUAUCCUUUGGAUAAAUAUCUAAUCAUGCAAUUGCUAGGACGUAGGGUAGCUCUCUUUUUACUUUUUUUGCAGACCUCCAUACUA